rnacentral:rRNA from 1 species
UACAGAGGGUGCAAACGUUGCUCGGAAUUAUUGGGCGUAAAGCGCACGUAGGCGGUCAUGUAAGUCAGGAGUGAAAGCCCUCGGCUUAACCGGGGAAGUGCUUUUGAAACUGCAUGACUUGAAUACUGGAGAGGGUCGCGGAAUUCCCGGUGUAGAGGUGAAAUUCGUAGAUAUCGGGAGGAACACCAGUGGCGAAGGCGGCGACCUGGACAGAUAUUGACGCUGAGGUGCGAAAGCGUGGGGAGCAAACAGG